rnacentral:SRP_RNA from 1 species
GUCAUAACCCAAUAAGGACACUAGGAACAGGUCAGGGCGGGAACGCAGCAGCCAUAACUAGUGAAAUUGUGUGGGUUAUUACAUA